CGGAACUUACCUGUUCCCGAAUGCUGUAACUCACUGAUAGUGCAACUUUCAUACCAAUUGUCGAAUAAACGAGAACAAAACUAAAGGUAGCAGAAUGAGGGAAGAAAAAAAAAAGGAAGAAGGUGAGAGAACGGGCACCGCGCCAUAAAUCGUCGUUUAACCUUAAAAAUCGUCGUUGCUAAUGGACAUUUGCUGUCGAACCUCGAGAAAUCGUUGCGCUCGUAGCCGCGAGAAUUCUUUCAACGACAUUGUGCGAAGUGCCGCUCGACAAAGGAAGAAUAAAGAUUUGUGUCUUACUGAUUAUCCAGUUCGUGUACUAUACUCGGCUUUAGAUACAUUCGAGUCAACUCCGACGAGAUAAAGCGUUUGUUUUGCGCAUGCUUGCAUGAAAUGCGCUCAGGAUGCAGCAUACUUUGAGGAAGCUUGUUUUAUUCCAUAAAGAGACGCAAGGAACACGGAACGAAGCGGGAUCGUGUGUCAUCAGCGGGCAAUGGCGAUAAUGAAGAGAGAAGAGGAGUCGGCGAUCCUCGCGGUGUAAAGGCUCGAGUUUGAGUGUGGCGCGUGCCACGGCGUCCUUCACCGCAUCAACAUAUGGCUACAAAAAAAUCGUUUCCUUUGCUCCUUUCGUAUCGAUGAAACGACAGAUGCCUUCAUUACGGAGACUGGAAAAAAUAUAAUAAGCGUGUCUCGAUCAUCGCCGGGAAUAAAAAGAAGCCGAAGAACAGGAGGAAAGAAAAAAGAAACUUAUAUAUACUCACUUCGACAAUCAGCAGUGGAUUAGAACAAGGACUAAAUGGAGGGAAAAUUAUCGGAAUGCAACGGUCGAGACGAAUCGCCUUGAGACAAUUAAAGAUAUCGAUCUCGGAUCUACCCCUGGUUGCCGGCGCGUGCCCUGCGCCAACCUGGGCCGCCGCAAGGUGUUACCCCGGUGAGCGCGGCAGAUUUCAGGAUAAAGAGGGCCGAUUCCACGGGGGAAAAAACCUUGUCCACUCGGAUGUGACGGUGCAGACCGCCUCCAGGAUUCGUUAACCCGGCAAGGACGCGAGUUUUAUUUUCGCUUUUAUUUUGUGACUACGAGUAGAGUUCACGAUCCUCGAAUUUGGAUCAUUCUUGUUAUUUUGUAGAUUUUUUUUUUUUUUCGUUGAUAAAUUUUUUAAUUUAGCAUUUUAUCAAUGAAGGUUCACGAUUCUCGAUUUUGGAUCACUCUUGUUAUUUUGUAAUUAAAUUUUUUUUUUUUUUUUUUUUCGUUGACAAAUUCUUUAAUCUAGAUUGUUCUUGUUAUUCCUUCCUUUGAGAAAUAUAAUUAGUCUCUUUCGUUGAGAAAUUUUUUAAUCUAGCAAAGAUGUAAUAUUUUAUUAUUAUAAUUCUUGAACUUUUAUAAUUCUUAAUUAUAAUUUGUUUUUUACAUACAUUUUUUUUCAUUGACAAAUUCGUUAAUCUAGCGAAGAUUUAACGAGUUUUAUUAUAAUUCACCGAUAAAUAUCAUAUAAAUACUUCAAAUAGAACCAUUCCCAUUAUUUCACCCUUUGAAAAAUAUAAUUAGUUUUCGCGUCGGAUGUGACGAAUCGUUAAAAAAAAAUUUUCAUCCACGAGUUUCUUAACGAGUUGUAUUAAUUCUUAUUAAGUUGUGUACACCUUCACAAUCAUUCCUUCGUUAUCUCAUGACGAAUCGUGGCAAGAUUCGCUUUAAUUCCAUCUAUGAUCCGUUAAAUUGCGAUCACUUCUAUUUCUUCCUUCGACAUAUAAUUGAUAAUUGGUUUUCGAUGAACGUCGUAAAUCGUGACAGAGUCGUUAACAAGUUUUCAUCGACGUUCGAACGACUCGUUCGAUGGCCACUGAAAAUCAAUUAAGCCCAGGUGGGGCGCGUGGCUCGAACCGUGAUAGAUCGGUGUUGCCGUUUUCACCGUCGACGAUCUAUUUUUCUCGAAAAAGUAUCGGCCCACGAGAGCCAUAUGGCGCGCGACGACGAAACGGUGCGUUACGGUGCGAUUCGACGAUGAAAAUAAAAACGCGAAUGAAAGUGGAAGAGAGAAGAAAAGAAAAAGAAAAAAA